UACAGAGGGGGCAAGCGUUGUUCGGAAUUACUGGGCGUAAAGGGCUCGUAGGUGGCCAACUAAGUCAGACGUGAAAUCCCCAGGCUCAACUUGGGAACUGCGUCUGAUACUGGAUGGCUUGAAUUCGGGAGAGGGAUGUGGAAUUCCAGGUGUAGCGGUGAAAUGCGUAGAUAUCUGGAGGAACACCGGUGGCGAAGGCGGGUCUCUGGGCCGAUACUGACGCUGAGGAGCGAAAGCGUGGGGAGCGAACAGG
rnacentral:rRNA from 1 species